rnacentral:rRNA from 1 species
UAGCAAGAAAACUUUUUAAAUUAAAUCUCUCGAAACCUGAGGAGCUACCUUAAUUUUGGUUUAGCCCUAAAUAAAGGUGAGUGUGGCAUAACUCUAUUUAAAAUUUAAGGUAGAAAUUAAAUGUUAUUCGUUUUAGGUGAUAGCUAGUUAUAAUAUAAAGAUAUAUAAGUAUCGGAUAUAAUUUUACUAUGUGCUUAUAUUAUGCAUACAAUGAUUUAUUUUCUUGAUUAUGCGAGGGUAAGCUCGCAUAAACUUAAUUUAGCUAAAAUUAUAUAUAAAUCUAAGCUUGGAAUUAGCUAUGAUAACUGGAAUUUGUUAAAAAUACGUAUGUAUACAGGAACUUUGUAAUAUAUUAAAUUUAUAUUAUUUAAUCAUAUAAUCAGGGUAUGAUUAAUUUAUGCUAAAAUGAGUAUUAUUUUAUAGACUAAAACAAAAAAUAGAUUAAAUUUUUUUAAAAAUUUUUUAUAAAUAUUAUAAAAUAUAUCAUAGGAACUUGGCAAAACUUCAGCUCCGCCUGUUUAGCAAAAACAUGUCUCUUUG